CAUCAAAGAUGCCGUUGUAGGCGGUCGAGCCUAAUGUGCUAUUGUGUGUAGAGUGGAUGGUAGCAUGCUCUUGCGUAAAUUUUCCGCUAAUUUCAUUAAGCCAAGUUUAAUUACAAGCAAAAAUGGGUAAUGACCAGGCGAAGGUGGAGAGCAAAUCGGAAGAAGAGAAGAAAAAAUUAAAACCUUGCUGCGCUUGUCCGGAAACAAAAAAAGCGAGAGAUACGUGUAUUAUAGAAAAAGGCGAGGAAAAUUGCGGCGACCUUAUAGAAGCGCACAAAGUCUGUAUGCGAUCUAUGGGAUUCAAUAUAUAAGAUAAUUAGUAAAGAAGAAAGGAUGUCCUGUUACGAGAGUAUUUGUUGCGCAGACAAAUACUUGCGAAGAAUCUUAACAUCAGAUCAUAGACAUUUUGAUGUCUGUGCAAUCUGUCUUUGUACAUUAAUUUACUUUUAAGCUUAAAAGUAAUAUUAUGUCCAACCAAAUCUAUUUUUCUGUCAUCUGUUCGAUAUUAAUCUUUUGUUUGAAAAUAUAUUUUGUAAGGUGAGACUGGAAGUAAAAGGAGAAGCCAUGUUGGGAAUUCUAACAAAGCAUAUAUUUUAAUUUGAUGUGUGGCUAAUGCGAAGGUUUUACUUCUUGCAUAUAACAAUUCCACAGCUUGGUUUCCCUGAACACUCCAAAUAAUGAACAGAUUUCUUAAUCGACAUAUGGCGAAAUCCAGUAUUAUAAUUAAUAAUCGUCAUUGUUUUUGACGUUUCCUUACGGUCAGUCGUCGUAACGUUAUUGCGAAGUGGUCCUACUGGGCUGAAAGACAAACUUACAUUCGACUGGUGCACCAUAAUUAUCGAAGCUAUAUAAAACAACGACGCGACAUUCACGGGUCGGAUACGGGUGAGUGUCGCGUCCGCUAUCGAAUGAUCGCAAAUAUAUCUUUAACUACAAUAAUAAAUAGGUCUUAGAGAUACAUCAGUACAAUUUAUAUGUGUGA